GAUGAAUACAGUCAGCCUGCCAGUGACUAAGUUAAACGGCCGCGGUACCCUAACCGUGCAAAGGUAGCGCAAUCACUUGUUCUUUAAAUGAGGACUAGUAUGAACGGCAUCACGAGGGUUAUGCUGUCUCCCCACUCUAUUCAGUGAAACUGAUCUCCCCGUGAAGAAGCGGGGAUAAAAAUAUAAGACGAGAAGACCCCAUGGAGCUUUAAACUCAGUAUCAACUGCUUUAUAAAUCAACCUAAUAUCUAUGCAACCCUGAUUACUAGUUUUCGGUUGGGGUGACCACGGAGCAUAAAAUAACCUCCACGACGAAAGGAAGUAAUAACCUAAAUUAAGAGUUACAACUCUAAAUAUCAACAAAUUGACUAAAUUGAUCCAAUAAAUUGAUCAACGAACCAAGUUACCCUGGGGAUAACAGCGCAAUCCAUUUCAAGAGCUCAUAUCGACAAAUGGGUUUACGACCUCGAUGUUGGAUCAGGGUAUCCCAGUGGCGCAGCCGCUACUAACGGUUCGUUUGUUCAACGAUUAAAACCCUACGUGAUCUGAGUCCAGACCGGAA
rnacentral:rRNA from 1 species